rnacentral:rRNA from 1 species
CCUACGGGAGGCAGCAGUGAGGAAUAUUGGUCAAUGGCCGUAAGGCUGAACCAGCCAAGUCGCGUGAAGGAAGAAGGAUCUAUGGUUUGUAAACUUCGGUUAUAGGGGAAUAAAGGUAUACAAGUGUGGAGAUUUGCAUGUACCCUAUGAAUAAGCAUCGGCUAACUCCGUGCCAGCAGCCGCGGUAAUACGGAGGAUGCGAGCGUUAUCCGGAUUUAUUGGGUUUAAAGGGUGCGUAGGUUGUGUUUUAAGUCAGCGGUGAAAGUUUGUGGCUGAACCAUAAAAUUGCCGUUGAAACUGGAAGACUUGCGUGUGUUUGAGGUAGGCGGAAUGCGUGUUGUAGCGGUUAAAUGCCUAGAUAUCACGCAGAACUCCGAUUGCGCAGGCAGCUUACUAAGCCAUAACUGACACUGAAGCACGAAAGCGUGGGGAUCAAACAGGAUUAGAUACCCGUGUAGUC